rnacentral:rRNA from 1 species
GUGGGGAAUCUUAGACAAUGGGCGCAAGCCUGAUCUAGCCAUGCCGCGUGAGCGAUGAAGGCCUUAGGGUUGUAAAGCUCUUUCGUGGGGGAAGAUAAUGACUGUACCCCAAGAAGAAGCCCCGGCUAACUCCGUGCCAGCAGCCGCGGUAAUACGGAGGGGGCUAGCGUUGUUCGGAAUUACUGGGCGUAAAGCGCACGUAGGCGGACUGGAAAGUCAGGGGUGAAAUCCCGGGGCUCAACCCCGGAACUGCCUUUGAAACUCCCAGUCUUGAGGUCGAGAGAGGUGGGUGGAAUUCCGAGUGUAGAGGUGAAAUUCGUAGAUAUUCGGAGGAACACCAGUGGCGAAGGCGGCCCACUGGCUCGAUACUGACGCUGAGGUGCGAAAGCGUGGGGAGCAAACAGGAUUAGAUACCCUAGUAGUCC